GACGAACGCUGGCGGCGUGGAUUAGGCAUGCAAGUCGAACGGUAGGAUACCUUCGGGUAUCUGAGAGUGGCGAACGGGUGAGUAACACGUAGGUGAUCUACCCUCAAGAUUGGGACAACCCAGGGAAACUUGGGCUAAUACCGGAUGAAAGCAGCAGUGAUGUUGUUUGAAAGGUGGCGUAAGCUGCCGUUUGGGGAUGAGCCUGCGCUCUAUUAGUUAGUUGGCGGGGUAAAGCCCACCAAGGCGAUGAUAGAUAGGCGGCCUUAACGGGUGGUCGCCCACACUGGGAUUGAGAUACGGCCCAGACUCCUACGGGAGGCAGCAGUCGAGAAUAGUCUACAAUGGCCGAAAGGCUGAUAGUGCGACGCCGCGUGAACGAAGAAGCCCUUGGGGUGUAAAGUUCUUUUAUAUGUGAGCAGUGCUUUCUAUGUGAACAGCAUGGGGAGAGAGAUAUUAGCAUAUGAAUAAGCAACGGCUAACUCCGUGCCAGC
rnacentral:rRNA from 1 species